AUUGAACGCUGGCGGCAUGCCUUACACAUGCAAGUCGAACGGCAGCACGGGGGCAACCCUGGUGGCGAGUGGCGAACGGGUGAGUAACAUAUCGGAACAUACCCUAGAGUGGGGGAUAACGUAGCGAAAGUUACGCUAAUACCGCAUACGAUCUAAGGAUGAAAGUGGGGGGAUCUUCGGACCUCAUGCUCAUGGAGUGGCCGAUAUCUGAUUAGCUAGUUGGUGAGGUAAAGGCUCACCAAGGCGACGAUCAGUAGCUGGUUUGAGAGAACGACCAGCCACACUGGAACUGAGACACGGUCCAGAUUCCUACGGAGGCAGCAGUGGGGAAUUUUGGGACAAUGGGGGCAACCCUGAUCCAGCAAUGCCGCGUGAGUGAAGAAGGCC
rnacentral:rRNA from 1 species